UACGUAGGGUGCGAGCGUUAAUCGGAAUUACUGGGCGUAAAGUGUGCGCAGGCGGCGCCGCAAGUCGAGUGUGAAAGCCCCGGGCUUAACUUGGGAAUUGCGCUCGAAACUAUGGUGCUGGAGUGUGGCAGAGGAAGGUGGAAUUCCACGUGUAGCGGUGAAAUGCGUAGAGAUGUGGAGGAAUACCGAUGGCGAAGGCAGCCCCCUGGGUUGAUACUGACACUCAAGCACGAAAGCGUGGGUAGCAAACAGG
rnacentral:rRNA from 1 species